UGAGGAUUCAUUUCACCCCGAACAAGAUGAAAAAUUACGAGUAACACGAAACCGGGCAUCUCCAGCAACUCCCUGCCAGGACCUCGGCGCCGGGAUGCUCCCGGUUUCCGCCGGAUGCGGGAGAAGCCCCAUUCCCGGCGUUUGGCGAGGGAGGCGAGCUCGUGGGCGGGGGUGGGCGCGGGAGGCUCUGGCGAGGAGCUCUUGGGGCUUCCUGUUUCCUUCCGCGGCUCGAGCAGAAUUUGAAAGCAGCGGCUGCCGUGAGCUGGACCAAUGAUCGGGGCACAGCGCGCCCGGGCCGCCCGCGCCCGUUACCGCCGCCGGGGCUGCGCUCCCCGGCUCCACGUGGGAACACCGGCAACCGGGGGGAGCACCGGCCCGGCCCCACCACCCACGGGAAUCAGCAGAAGCAUGGCUGUCCCACUGGGAUUAGGACUGGAAAGGGGGAUCUUGUCCCCUUCCCGAUUAUUUAAUGGUGGGAAACAAGUGCAGUCAGCGCUUUGGGAUUUUUCCACCCAUUCCCAUGAAAACAUACCCAGUCCUGGGUGUUCCCUCUCCCCAUCUCAGACGCUCCAGAGGAUGUGGGGAAGGAGCCGCGGAUCCGGUCAGGAAUGCCAGGGCAUUUGGGAAAAGUGGAGCAGGUGGAGAUGAUGUGG